rnacentral:rRNA from 1 species
AGAAUCAACGCUGGCGGCGUGCCUAACACAUGCAAGUCGAACGAGAAAGUGGAGCAAUCCAUGAGUAAAGUGGCGACCGGGUGAGUAACACGUGACUAACCUACCUUCGAGUGGGGGAUAACCUCGGGAAACCGGGGCUAAUACCGCAUAAAAUCUUUGGAUCGGAAGAACUGGAGAUCAAUGGAGCAAUUCGCUUGAAGAGGGGGUCGCGGCUGAUUAGCUAGUUGGCGGGGUAAUGGCCCACCAAGGCUUUGAUCGGUAGCCGGCCUGAGAGGGCGCACGGCCACACUGGAACUGAAACACGGUCCAGACUCCUACGGGAGGCAGCAGUGGGGAAUUUUGCGCAAUGGGGGAACCCUGACGCAGCAACGCCGCGUGGAGGAUGAAGUCCCUUGGGACGUAAACUCCUUUCGACCGGGACGAUUAUGACGGUACCGGUGGAAGAAGCCCCGGCUAACUUCGUGCCAGCAGCCGC